rnacentral:rRNA from 1 species
AGAGUUUGAUCAUGGCUCAGGAUGAACGCUAGCGACAGGCCUAACACAUGCAAGUCGAGGNGCAUCGGGGCGAGGAGCAAUCCUUGCCGCCGGCGACCGGCGCACGGGUGAGUAACGCGUAUGCGACCUGCCCGUUGCAGGGGGAUAAUCGGGAGAAAUCCCGUCUAAUACCGCGUAAUGCCGCGGGGCUGCAUGGCCCUGCGGCCAAAGGGAGCGAUUCCGGCAACGGAUGGGCAUGCGUGACAUUAGCUAGUUGGCGGGGCAACGGCCCACCAAGGCGACGAUGUCUAGGGGUUCUGAGAGGAAGGUCCCCCACACUGGUACUGAGACACGGACCAGACUCCUACGGGAGGCAGCAGUGAGGAAUAUUGGUCAAUGGGCGCGAGCCUGAACCAGCCAAGUCGCGUGAGGGAUGACGGCCCUACGGGUUGUAAACCUCUUUUGUCGGGGAGCAAAUUCCGCCACGUGUGGCGGAGUCGAGAGUACCCGAAGAAAAAGCAUCGGCUAACUCCGUGCCAGCAGCCGCGGUAAUACGGAGGAUGCGAGCGUUAUCCGGAUUUAUUGGGUUUAAAGGGUGCGUAGGCGGACUGUCAAGUCAGCGGUAAAAUACGGGGGCUCAACCUCCGCCCGCCGUUGAAACUGACGGUCUUGAGUGGGCGAGAAGUAUGCGGAAUGCGUGGUGUAGCGGUGAAAUGCAUAGAUAUCACGCAGAACUCCGAUUGCGAAGGCAGCAUACCGGCGCCCGACUGACGCUGAAGCACGAAAGCGUGGGUAUCGAACAGGAUUAGAUACCCUGGUAGUCCACGCAGUAAACGAUGAAUACUAGCUGUCCGGGGCGAAUGAGCCCUGGGUGGCACAGCGAAAGCGUUAAGUAUUCCACCUGGGGAGUACGCCGGCAACGGUGAAACUCAAAGGAAUUGACGGGGGCCCGCACAAGCGGAGGAACAUGUGGUUUAAUUCGAUGAUACGCGAGGAACCUUACCCGGGCUCAAACGACACAGGAACGUACCUGAAAGGGUUCGGCUCUACGGAGCCUGUGUCGAGGUGCUGCAUGGUUGUCGUCAGCUCGUGCCGUGAGGUGUCGGCUUAAGUGCCAUAACGAGCGCAACCCCCAUCGACAGUUGCUAACAGGUUAGGCUGAGGACUCUGUCGAGACUGCCGGCGCAAGCUGCGAGGAAGGCGGGGAUGACGUCAAAUCAGCACGGCCCUUACGUCCGGGGCGACACACGUGUUACAAUGGCAGGUACAGCGGGAAGCCACCUGGCGACAGGGAGCGGAACCCGAAAGCCUGUCUCAGUUCGGAUUGGAGUCUGCAACCCGACUCCAUGAAGCUGGAUUCGCUAGUAAUCGCGCAUCAGCCACGGCGCGGUGAAUACGUUCCCGGGCCUUGUACACACCGCCCGUCAAGCCAUGGAAGCCGGGGGUGCCUGAAGUGCGCUGCCGCGAGGAGCGCCCUAGGGUAAAACCGGUGACUGGGGCUAAGUCGUAACAAGGUAGC